rnacentral:lncRNA from 10 species
GGCGGAUGCAGCUCCGAGGAGGUAGGCAGUGGGAGCCGGCGUUCAGUCCGGCCCGUGCCAACAGUGGUUCCUCUCUCCCCCGUAGUUCGAGGAGACCACGCGCUGCCCCUCUGGCACGAUCGUGGAUGAACCCCCUGGCAACUGAAAUGGGAAAGGCAGCGCCCCCGACUCUGGGGACUGGACCGAAGUCCACGGUAGUGACAGCUGCCAGACCCUGAGGAGAGGACGAGAAGACCCGAGGCCUCUGCUACGAACACUGGCAGCCGAUGGAAAAUUCAGACGGAUUUGGGACAGUAUGCAGAGUUCUCCAAGCGACAGAUUAACAGAGGCUCUUGAAGAAUAACUGCGUAAUCACGUGUUCUGCUCAAAAGAAGGCCUGAAUGCCCAGUGCCUUAUUUGGCUUUCAGGACAGGGUCUUGCGGUGUCACCCAGGCUAGAGUACAGUGGUGCAAUCAUAGCUCACUGCUGCCUCAAACUCCUAGACUCAAGCAAUCCUCCUGCUUCAGCCUCCCGAGUAGCUGGGACUACAGGUGUGUACCACAAUGCCUGGCUAAGUUUUUAAUUUUUAGUAGAGAUAAAGUCUUGCAAUGUUGCCCAGGCUGAUCUCGAACUCCUGGACCUAAGCAGUCCUCCCGCCUCAGCCUCCCAAAGUGCUCAGCUUACAGGCUUGAGCCACCAUGCCCAGCUUCAACCUAUUCUUUAUGGGCCAGGUAAAUACCUCUUCCCCCAGGAAGCCUACCUUGACCGUGUUAGCCCAUUGAGCUCUCACCUGCCUUUCUCUUUGUAUUACCUAUUCCACUGAUUUGCCCCUGAGCACGGACAGCCC